rnacentral:rRNA from 1 species
AGUAACGCGUGGAUAACCUGCCUCACACUGGGGGAUAGCAGUUAGAAAUGACUGCUAGUACCGCAUGAGCGCACAGUACCGCAUGGUACGGUGUGAAAAACUCCGGUGGUGUGAGAUGGAUCCGCGUCUGAUUAGCCAGUUGGCGGGGUAACGGCCCACCAAAGCGACGAUCAGUAGCCGACCUGAGAGGGUGACCGGCCACAUUGGGACUGAGACACGGCCCAA